rnacentral:rRNA from 1 species
UGGGGAAUUUGGACGAAUUGGGCGAAAGCCUGAUCCAGCAAUGCCGCGUGUGUGAAGAAGGCCUUCGGGUUGUAAAGCACUUUUGUCCGGAAAGAAAUCCUUGGCUCUAAUACAGUCGGGGGAUGACGGUACCGGAAGAAUAAGCACCGGCUAACUACGUGCCAGCAGCCGCGGUAAUACGUAGGGUGCAAGCGUUAAUCGGAAUUACUGGGCGUAAAGCGUGCGCAGGCGGUUUGCUAAGACCGAAUGUGAAAUCCCCGGGCUCAACCUGGGAACUGCAUUGGUGACUGGCAGGCUAGAGUAUGGCAGAGGGGGGUUAGAAUUCCACGUGUAGCAGUGAAAUGCGUAGAGAUGUGGAGGAAUACCGAUGGCGAAGGCA